rnacentral:rRNA from 1 species
UACGUAGGGUGCGAGCGUUGUCCGGAAUUACUGGGCGUAAAGAGCUCGUAGGUGGUUUGUCGCGUUGUCCGUGAAAACUCACAACUCAAUUGUGGGCGUGCGGGCGAUACGGGCAGGCUAGAGUACUGCAGGGGAGACUGGAAUUCCUGGUGUAGCGGUGAAAUGCGCAGAUAUCAGGAGGAACACCGGUGGCGAAGGCGGGUCUCUGGGCAGUAACUGACGCUGAGGAGCGAAAGCGUGGGGAGCGAACAGG